GAUGAGAAGGCAUGAAGGGAUUGUGCCAGCAGAAGAAAGGAGGGACCCACACUUCUGAGAUCACAGAUCCACUGAGGCCCUGAGAAGAGUUUAUUGAUACAUCUAUUCCUGAAGGAGGCCAGAUGUCUACAUCAGCAGAAGAUGCUAGACUAUGUGAAAGUGUCUACACCAGGAGCAGAGAUGAACCAAGAACACACCCAUUCUCAGGACAGCUGGUGGCAAGGCAGAGUAGGACAGUAUCUGCAGCAAGCCCAGAGCACACACAGUUUCCCUGGGUCAGGUUCGCAUUGAAGGAAACUGGAGAUCCACCAUUUCUCCUCGGAAAACUUCCCCGACGAACUGAGGGCAUCCUGCCGUCCCGUGCCUACAUGUGCCGGUCCAUGCACUGUGCCACUGGUUUUCUAACGCACAACUUCCCUUCUCCUGACUCCAGGCAUUUUUGCUGGCUGUCCACAUGCCUAGAAUUCUCUCCUUCCUCAUCUCUGCUUCUGGACUCCUUUGGUUUCCUUUGGAUCUCAACGGAAGCCCAGCCUUUUGCAAGAAAACUUUCCUCUUCCUUCUUCAUGUUAGAGAGAUCAUUCUCCAUUUCUCUGCAUUGCUAGUUUGGACCUUAUUGUUGGCGUGUUUACUCUUCCAUUAAACUGGGAGCUCCUUGAGGGCAGAGACUGACCUUUACAUUUCUCUGUAGCCCCAGGGCUUGCCUAGUCUCCCAACCUCUCCGGAGGGCAAAUUCAAGCUGUCUGUGAGGUCCG
rnacentral:lncRNA from 1 species